rnacentral:rRNA from 1 species
GGAUAUCUUGGCUCCCACAACGAUGAAGAACGCAGCGAAAUGCGAUACGUCUUGCGACUUGCAGAAUCCAGUGAAUCAUCAAAACUUUGAACGCACCUUGCGCUUUUGGGUAUGCCCAAUCGCAUGCUUGUCGGAAGUG